CUGGACAUCGAAAACUAUUGCUAGAUGAUAAUUUUGAUUAGUAUAGAAAAUAGUUUUCUAUGCUAUCGGCUUAGUAUUCAAACUUAUAGAAUCAUGCAUAAAGUAAGGUAAAGUAGUAAAGAAUCGACAAAAGUCUAUGAGUUCAUUUUGAAAGUAUGUGACUUAAUUGAAUAAAAAAAUUAGCUUAAUUAAAAAUUAAAUUAAAGGUCAUAUAAAAUUAAAG
rnacentral:lncRNA from 1 species